AAAAUAAAAAAGGAAAGAAAAUUAAAUAGAAAUCAAUCUUCGAAUUAUCUAUCCAUUUUUCUUUAUUGUUUUAUUUCUCAUAAUAUUCCUUUUUAAUGCGCUUAAAGAUACAAUAAUAUUCAGACCACCAAUGAAGAUCAAAAACAAUAUAACUUGGAAAUCGUUGAUCAAUUCAGAAAAGACUACCUUGAUAUUAAAAAGCAAACUAUAGUAAAAAAAAUAUGAAGUUUUCAAAGAAAGUAAAAAUGUAUAUGUAUAAUUAUGAUUUUAUAAAAUACAUAUUAUGAUAAAUAAAAACAAUAAAAAAAAGCGGACAGAUAAACUGAGUAACGGUUUCCAUUCAACUUUCUUCAUCAUAAUUUAUGGAAAAUAAAUUUUCUAUUCAUUUUUUUUUUUGCAGAACAAACCUGCAUACAUUUUCG